AGUGAACGCUGGCGGUAGGCCUAACACAUGCAAGUCGAACGGCAGCACAGUAAGAGCUUGCUCUUACGGGUGGCGAGUGGCGGACGGGUGAGGAAUACAUCGGAAUCUACUUUUUCGUGGGGGAUAACGUAGGGAAACUUACGCUAAUACCGCAUACGACCUACGGGUGAAAGCAGGGGAUCUUCGGACCUUGCGCGAUUGAAUGAGCCGAUGUCGGAUUAGCUAGUUGGCGGGGUAAAGGCCCACCAAGGCGACGAUCCGUAGCUGGUCUGAGAGGAUGAUCAGCCACACUGGAACUGAGACACGGUCCAGACUCCUACGGGAGGCAGCAGUGGGGAAUAUUGGACAAUGGGGGCAAGCCUGAUCCAGCCAUACCGCGUGGGUGAAGAAGGCCUUCGGGUUGUAAGGCCCUUUUGUUGGGAAAGAAAAGCAGCAGGUUAAUACCCCGCUGUUCUGACGGUACCCAAAGAAUAAGCACCGGCUAACUUCGUG
rnacentral:rRNA from 1 species